rnacentral:rRNA from 1 species
AUUGAACGCUGGCAGCAGGCUUAACACAUGCAAGUCGAGCGGAGCGAGGGUGCUUGCACCUUAGCUUAGCGGCGGACGGGUGAGUAAUGCUUAGGAAUCUGCCUAUUAGUGGGGGACAACAUUCCGAAAGGAAUGCUAAUACCGCAUACGCCCUACGGGGGAAAGCAGGGGAUCUUCGGACCUUGCGCUAAUAGAUGAGCCUAAGUCGGAUUAGCUAGUUGGUGGGGUAAAGGCCUACCAAGGCGACGAUCUGUAGCGGGUCUGAGAGGAUGAUCGGACACACUGGGACUGAGACACGGACCAGACGCCUUCGGGAGGCAGCAGUGGGGAAUAUUGGACAAUGGGCGGAAGCCUGAUCCAGCCAUGCCGCGUGGGUGAAGAAGGCCUUUUGGUUGUAAAGCACUUUAAGCGAGGAGGAGGCUACUUAGAUUAAUACUCUGGGAUAGUGGACGUUACUCGCAGAAUAAGCACCGGCUAACUCUGUGCCAGCCGCCGCCGUAACAC